rnacentral:lncRNA from 1 species
UGUAUCUAAGCUAAGGGGCAUAGCUUUUACUAAAAUGAUUUUCAUUAUCUUACUUUAAGUAAUGGGACUACCCUAAUAGGUUUUUCUCUCCGGGUAAGCAAGUGAAGUAAGCUCCCCCGCCUAGUUCCCUUGUAAAGAAAGUGUACUAGUAGGGCAUAGUUCCCUCAAGCCAGUGUUUCCUUUGCUAUCGGUCCCGGCGAGCCGGGAGAAAGUUUACAUUCAUUUCCAGGGGAGGGGAAACCCUAUGCAUAGUGAUAAAGGCGUAAGACCUCCAACUCAAAUGAAGGGAGUAAGGUUGACUCCGGUCCCUUCGUCCCUCAUCUAGACCGACAGCAAAAGCAACUGAAACUGUCCAGAACAAACAACAACUACAACUAAAACCAUUGGGAAUCAAAGAAAGCAAAAAAUCUAUAUUCUUAUAUGUAACCAGCCCUAGGAAAGGGGCACUCUAGUGCAUAAACUUAUUUCGACGAAAAAAAGGGGGCACGGAAAUAAACUUGGCAGUCAAUCACUGUCCUGUGAUAUUGACUAAUUAUUAUUAUUAUUAUGAAAUACCAUAUUCUAUUAAGUCAGUUAUAGUAGACUAGGAAUCCAGAAAACUUCAAAUCAAGAGGUCAUACUCCGCCAACUACGCUUGGUUAAAGCUUUAUCCCGGUUUGUUUCAUUUGCUUUCAAGUCUAGUGGAAUCACUAUGAUAGCUUUCCCCGGGAUCACAAAACACUAUUCUAUUAGGUCACGAACUCGUGCCCCAUUCUCUCUGACCGAGGCGCUAGAUCUUCUAUCUAUUCGAUUGACCCUAAAGCUAGGAAGACUGCCCUACCUUCGACUGAGAGUGUCUUCGCCUAGAAACUCUUCUUGCGUACUUGACUUAUAGGCUUGACGCCCAUUUCCUCUAGGCUAGUUCAUUCCCGGAAAAGAAAACUAGUUGAAUUAGCGAGGAUCCUUAAGAAAGCGGGUGCCAUUCUGUCAGCUUCGUCCCAAUGGAUAUCUCUUCUCUCAAACAGCAACCUAAGGAAUCUCUCUUUCCACAUGAGGUUUGAGGGAUAAGGUCUUCUGGAAACCUUUUGAAGUGGGCAAACCAAGUCAAAGAAAGAAGCAACUCUCCCAGGACCGGAGAAGCUCAAUUUCAAAGGUUAGGAGUUUAGUUCUGACUUGUACUGCCGAGGAGCGAUUCCUCUGAAUGGCAAGUAUGAUUUCAACUGCCCGUCCUUCGGAGAAUGAAGUCAGGGAGUGAGGAGACAGAAAAAAUAUUUUCAUACCUUAAACCUAUAGCUAUUAAC